GACCCAGAUAGCAAGCAGACGUUGAUUCAACAUUGAUUUUUGGUUGUAAAGGUCAGUAUCGGUCGUCGAUCAAAUUUCGAUGUUGAAUCAACGUUCACUAUUUGGUCGGAACAUCAGAACGUUAUUUCGUGGAAAAUAAAACAUCGAUUCAACGUCGAAAUCACAUUGACUCAUCAACCGACACAGCCGACGAAUCUGAUCUAAAUCAUAACGUCUGAUAUAAGUUGAAACUUGAUCAGAGGAAUCAGAGAUCUGCGCUUGCACUCUCACACAGAGAAAAAGGGUAACUAAAUGUAUUUUUAUUCAUUAUUUUAUAUAGCCUAGUGGGUUGUCCGUCUGUCACUGAAUAUUAUUGGCUACUUAAAGUCUGAAGUGGAAUGAACGUUUUAAAAGCAAUGACACACAAAACAUUUUAACUUGAGCUUUGUCGAAUGUUUAAUGUUUAUUCAUUUUGUUCUGCAGACAUGUGUUCUAUCACUGGCAAGCCGAUGCCUAUGUAAAUUCCGCGUGCUUUAAUGAGCGCGCGCUGAACAUUGGAGUAGCGUUCAUUCAGAUUCAAACACUGGAGCGGAGGGAGUUGCCAUGGAAACGGGGCGACCGACAACACUGGCAAGCUGCAAGCUCCGUUUCUUGCUGCUGUUUUCACUGCUUUCGAAAUGGUGUAGUGUUUUCGAACAAGUCCGUAAGCAUCUUAACCGUUAUCAGAGGAGGUAACGUAACGUAUGCUAACUCCAUAGACUGAGCUCUUUAUGAAAAGUUAGGGAUUUUAAUAACACAUUAAAAAUGAGAUAGAGAUAGAGACAGAGACAGCCAAAGGGUCAAGGCUUUUCUGGUUAACAUUGAUCAGUUAACACCUGCUGGUAGAUGCUGUAACUACACCUUAAUGCUGUUCUUGUACUUUAUAUUCAUCAAAGAAUCCUGGGAGGGGAAUGUAUCACGGUUUCCACAAAAUUAUCAGCACAAAUGUUUUCAACCAAACAAAUUCUUGAGCCGCC
ensembl:lncRNA